UCCCCGAUAUGUUCCCCCCAAUCUUGUUUCUUUUUGUUGUUUUUCUUUUUUCGUUUUUCUACUUUUUUCCCUCCCAUUCGCUUCCUUUAAUGAUCCUCCUUAACCGUCCUCGAAAGUCGUCUAACGCUAUUGACAACGUUGAUGAUCAUGCUGGGAGAAGAUUGCAGACCUAAAGAGAUGCUGCUAUCAAUCAAAUUCGAAUCUUCCUAAAGCUUGUUUGUCUUCGAUAUCACCAAAUCUUAUUUUAUCUUUAAUUGGCCGACCUUAAUACUUGGAUUAUUUAGAAAGAAGAAUAAAAAUAUCUUCGGACAGGAGAAGAAAAAAAAAAUGAUGUCGAAAAGUUUUGAAGACUUUAGCUAAUAAAGAGAAGAAGGAAUGACUUCGUUCUUUAACGAAU